rnacentral:rRNA from 1 species
UAAAGGCUCGUUGGUGACCAGCGGAGGGAUCAUUACAGAGUUGCAAAACUCCCAACCCUUUGUGAACGAACCUACCAGUUGCCUCGGCGGCGAGCCUUUCGGGCGGACCGCCGAAGGAAUACAAACUCUUUGCAUUUUAGUAUCUCUGAUUACUUAUUCAAUAAGUUAAAACUUUCAACAACGGAUCUCUUGGUUCUGGCAUCGAUGAAGAACGCAGCGAAAUGCGAUAAGUAAUGUGAAUUGCAGAAUUCAGUGAAUCAUCGAAUCUUUGAACGCACAUUGCGCCCGCUAGUAUUCUGGCGGGCAUGCCUGUUCGAGCGUCAUUUCAACCAUCAAGCCUCAGGCUUGUGUUGGAGCCCUGCGGCUGCCGCAGCCUCCCAAAAACAGUGGCGGGCUCGCUAUCACACCGAGUGCAGUAGUUUACUCUUCGCUCAGGGCGUGUGGCGGGUGCUAGCCGUGAAACCCCCUACUUCUCAAGGUUGACCUCGGAUCAGGUAGGAAUACCCGCUGAACUUAAGCAUAUCAAUAAGCGGAGGA